ACGUAGGGUGCGAGCGUUGUCCGGAAUUAUUGGGCGUAAAGGGCUCGUAGGCGGCUUGUCGCGUCUGCUGUGAAAGCCCGGGGCUUAACUCCGGGUCUGCAGUGGAUACGGGCAGGCUAGAGUCCGGCAGGGGAGACUGGAAUUCCUGGUGUAGCGGUGAAAUGCGCAGAUAUCAGGAGGAACACCGAUGGCGAAGGCAGGUCUCUGGGCCACUACUGACGCUGAGAAGCGAAAGCAUGGGGAGCGAACAGGA
rnacentral:rRNA from 1 species